rnacentral:lncRNA from 1 species
AUGAAUUAUCACUCCAUAUUGGGCCACCUUAUUGGACCCGAGCUAGGGCCAUUAGUGUUGUGCGCCUAGCCGAAGUGCCUAUCACUUUGCUCACCUCGUACUGGGCUCGAACUUAGGCCCAUUAACCCGCCUUAGCCCAUUUCACAUCAUUUCUCUAUAAUAUGAAUUCAAUUCACAAGUUAAGGUUUCGAGGGGACGAAGCGAGGGUGCCUGUUGGAGCCAUUUUUGGAGGUCAACAGAUUUCCUUUUUAUGAGCCUCGGAACCACUCCGACCCCCCGAAGCCUCUCCGAAGUGAUACAUCGAUUCCUGCCACUGAUCUUCCGAAGUGUCCCGUCUCCGAGGUCGGGUUCAAGUGGCUUGAACCCCCGUUAGAAGAUUCGCUGCCAAUUUAAGAUUUGCUCUGCAUAUAAGGUUUAAAUUGAUGUGACGUCCCCCAUAAAGCUAUUUGAUGUGACUUAUCAACUUUAUGUCAAUUCAACUAGGGGGAAACAAACUGUCCGCCCACUCUACAAGCGCGGCUGAUUGACGUCUAUGAGCAGACACUUCAUACCGUCAGAUGUAUACACGUGUUCCACAUCCCACGGUUCAUACCAUCUAUAAAUACCCAAAGAUUGGCCAGAGGCAAAGGUAAUGAAACUCUCAAUAGAUAGCACUUCAUAACAAGUUUAUAUAUUCUCCUCCCCCUUUAUUGACUGAUUGAGUUGUGUAGUCCCUGGACACUGCUCCGACCACCCAAAUCUGACUUGACCGUCGGAGUGUAUACGGCCGCCACCACCGUUGGUUCCGGCCGUGUGCGCCUGACAGUGUGUUCAUUUCGUAGGGAGGAAUACGUGGAGUAGCUACAAGUUGGCCGCGUGGAAG